CAUCUGUAUGAAAGGAGAGAAGGUUAGCACUCUAUUUGAGAAGGAUGGAAGAGGUCCUAGUGGUGUUUACAACACAUAUAUGGCUAAGGCAUUGCCACCCACUUUGUGGCAUAGUGAUAAUAAUAA